rnacentral:rRNA from 1 species
UACGUAGGGUGCGAGCGUUAAUCGGAAUUACUGGGCGUAAAGCGUGCGCAGGCGGUUUUGUAAGACAGAGGUGAAAUCCCUGGGCUCAACCCAGGAACUGCGUCCGAUACUGGAAGGCUUGAAUCCGGGAGAGGGAUGCGGAAUUCCAGGUGUAGCGGUGAAAUGCGUAGAUAUUGGGAGGAACACCAGUGGCGAAGGCGGCUCACUGGACCGGAACUGACGCUGAGGCGCGAAAGCGUGGGGAGCAAACAGG